AGGUAGUAUUAAUAUUUUAAUAAACCUAUUUAUAACGACGGCAUUUCAUCUUAUUAGAGGAAUCUGUUUAUUAAUCGAUAAUCCACGAUAAAUUUUACUUUAAAUUAAAACUUAUAUACCGCCAUCUAUAAGAAUUAAGUUUAUUAACUUAUUCUUAAUAAAAAUUAAAAAGUUAGGUCAAGGUGUAGUUAAUAUUAAAGAUUAAAUGGAUUACACUAAAUAAAUUUUAGGAUUAAUUUUUCUUAAAAAAUUAUAAAAAAGGAUUUAAAAGUAACAAUUACAAUAAUAUUUAAUUGUAAAUUAGAUAAUAAAUGUGU
rnacentral:rRNA from 1 species